CCGAGUUUACAACUCCCAAACCCCUGUGAACAUUACCUAUUGUUGCUUCGGCGGGAUCGCCCCGGCGCCUUCGGGCCCGGACCCUGGCGCCCGCCGGAGGACCCAAACUCUUGUCUUCAUGAGAAUCUUCUGAGUGAUACAAGCAAAUAAAUUA
rnacentral:misc_RNA from 1 species